rnacentral:lncRNA from 1 species
UAAACUAGUUUUUGACCUUUUCAAGAUGGUAGGGAACCAUUCAUCAUUUUAAAAACUGGUAAUUAAAGAAAACCAUCAAGCUUUAUCUUGUCUUUCUGGUAAGCUUUAUAGAUCAGGGUGACAAAAGAGUUCAUGAGAAAAUUUCUUCUUUGAAGAAUUUUAGCUAACAGAUGAAGAAGGAAUGAUAGCAUUAUCAUAUGACUAUUCCACAAUCCCUAAUGAAUUAAUGGUUCCAGGCAUUGAUCAUCAAUGGCUGCUACCAUCACAAAAAGAGAAAUAAGUAUGCAUUGUGCAUUUCCAGAUGGAAGUUCAUCUAAAAGUAGUUUUACAACUACACAAAUAAAAUCAAGCCUGAAUCUGACCUAAGCUCUAGGAAGGUAGCAAUUUUGAAUAUGUUAUUAGUAACUGUAGUCAUGGUGCUGUGCAUAGAUCUCUAAAAGUCGUUCUUCUCGUAGAAGAAUGUCAUUUAUAGUUCAAUAAAGCUGUAAAACAUUUAAAAACAAAGUUAUUAAAGAAGAAUAAUAUUCUUACAGAUAAUGAAACUAACUAGAAGUAGAUGCCAGGAAAACAAGAGUAGAAGAAAACUUUCUAUCCUUGAACAACAGCUCCCCAUUCCUCAUCUCCCUACUUCAGCCAUUGUUGUGAAGUUCUGGGCUCUGAGGGCUGUUUUAGCAAGGUGAAUCCAGGUGAGAGCCUGCACAGAAGGUUCAGAGGUCCCCAGGAAUUGAAACAUUAGGGAUUCUGAGAAAACCUUGGCCCCAGAAUCAUAAACUUAGAGGUAAUGUAUGAGUGUGUCUGGUGUCUUUAGUCCUCUAAAAGCUAAAGAGAAACUGAGCCACUGAAUGAGGUGUCUCUACUCCUGAGGCUGAAAGAGUUCAAGGAGAUGGAGAACACAACAGCCCACAGAAUAUUUUACUUUCCAUCCUUGCCAGACUGCUACCACAACUUGUAACAUAUUCAACUAAUAAUAAAAAUAAUAACUAAUUUAUGGGUACUCAGGAACAGAGAGAGGAAGAUCAAACAGAACAAAAGUCCAGCAACAUAGAGCUACUGGAUGACAACAAUAGCAAAAACAAAAUAAAAGUAUUUAAGGAUCUUUAGAUACAGCACAGAAAAACAUAAUAAAUUCAUGACUUUUAAGCUAAAACUUUCAGGAAAUUAACUGAAUUACCAAAAAUGAUCAAAGUAGAAAUCUUGCAUAUAUCUAUUGCCACAGAGAUUGGUAAGAUAUGCAAAAUCUACUAUUUGAAAAAGCAGCAAGACCAGAUGGGUUCUAAA